rnacentral:rRNA from 1 species
GAGUUUGAUCGUGGCUCAGGAUGAACGCUGGCGGCGUGCCUAACACAUGCAAGUCGAGCGGUAUAUAUUGGAUUGAAACUUCGGUUGAAUGAAGAUAUAGAGAGCGGCGGACGGGUGAGUAACGCGUAGGCAACCUGCCCCAUACAGAGGGAUAGCCUCGGGAAACCGGGAUUAAAACCUCAUAACGCGAGAGUAUCACAUGGUGCUUUCGCCAAAGAUUUAUCGGUAUGGGAUGGGCCUGCGUCUGAUUAGCUAGUUGGUGGGGUAACGGCCUACCAAGGCAACGAUCAGUAGCCGACCUGAGAGGUAAUCGGCCACAUUGGAACUGAGACACGGUCCAAACUCCUACGGGAGGCAGCAGUGGGGAAUAUUGCACAAUGGGCGAAAGCCUGAUGCAGCAACGCCGCGUGAGCGAUGAAGGCCUUUGGGUCGUAAAGCUCUGUCCUU